UGGUGUACAGGAGAUGGUAUUUCUCCUUUAACUGCUCUUGGGGUAAUGAUGCCUAAGAACCC
rnacentral:ncRNA from 2 species